CAGUAGCCGCGGGAAUACGAAGGGGGCUAGCGUUGCUCGGAAUCACUGGGCGUAAAGGGUGCGUAGGCGGGUCUUUAAGUCAGGGGUGAAAUCCUGGAGCUCAACUCCAGAACUGCCUUUGAUACUGAAGAUCUUGAGUUCGGGAGAGGUGAGUGGAACUGCGAGUGUAGAGGUGAAAUUCGUAGAUAUUCGCAAGAACACCAGUGGCGAAGGCGGCUCACUGGCCCGAUACUGACGCUGAGGCACGAAAGCGUGGGGAGCAAACAGGAUUAGAUACCCCUGUAGUCCCUGUCUCUUAUAA
rnacentral:rRNA from 1 species